UGAGCCUAAUUAAGUACUUAUAUAUCAAAAGCUUUGCUCUGCUGACAUCCAUCUGCAUCACAGCUUAACCUGCACAUUUAGAAAACAUAUGCAGGGCUGAGUACUAAAAACAGGGGAAUUUUGAUGAUGAAAAACUUCCGCAAUUCUUCUUUCAAGUUGAUGGGGAGGAGUAGGUCUCUAAAUUAGCCUCAUGGCAGAUGGCUGAUUUUCAUUUCCUCUUUGAGACAUCAUGUUGAGUAAAUACACAAAAUUCUCAAAAUUGAGCUUUCAUCCCAUCAGUAAAGCAAUCACUGCUAAUUAGCUAUAAAUCAACUAAGUUAUAAAACUAAUGCCCAAAAAUUAAACCAUCUAAGCAAUUAAAGCUCAACGGCCUAGUGAAUGACCACUUUGAUCAUUUCAUAGCAUGGGAAAAUUUGCCUCAAUGAGUUCUCAUACAAAAGAUGGAAAUAUACGUUGCAAAAAGGCUCUUAGUACUAAUUGUGAUGCACUAACUGUAUAAUGUCACUUACUAGUACUAGGUUAUAGUGCCACUGACAUAACUUGCUACCGUAUCAUCAAAUUGUCUAUAUCUGCAUCCAUCCAAUGUAUAGAUAUACGUACACACCAUCAUCUAAAAGAUUUUCAUUGCUAUACAACAAAUGAAAAUCCCCCACAUAUCAAGAUACAAGUAUUAAAAUAUGAACAACACUUUAUCCGUUCAAAAAGUUCAUACUAGUAGAGGAUACUCAUAAAUAAACCAUGUUAUUCAUAUUCACUCACUUGUAAACAUGUAAACUUCUCCAAAUACUAGUUUCUUGCAAAAUUGCAAUAUUAAUAACUUUCUUGCAAAGUUGCGAUAUUAAUAACUCUAACUCUUCCAAAACUGUAAAUUGAUACUUUAAAACGCUGAAAAUCCAUACCUGGCUAAGCUGGAUGAGAUGGAGAGCAGAGUUUUUACUAUAUUACUCAUACUAGUCCAAAGAUUCAAAGUUAGACUAGACUCAAAGGAAUAUUUAGGCUCAGAGCAAACGACUGCUCUGAUACCACUUUGUCACAGCCCGACCUAAGCUAGUGAAUAGUUAAGUCGGGAAAAAGUGUGACUGAAAACAAAAUAAGAAAAUGAAAAAGAAAAUAGAUCUCAAUAAAAAUCACUAACCUGCUUAAACAAUAAUUUACCAAAGUAUUUGGUAAUCAUAAACAAUCUCUUCUAAAACUCAAAAGCAGACAACUCACAAUACAUAACGACAAGUUGUCUAAGUAUCAAGUGACAUAGUUCUGUAAGCUAUUAGUUUGAAAUCUUUGCAACCCAUCAAUAAAGUAAAACGCACUAAGCGUUGCAGCGGAAUAGCUUAAGUGGAUUACAUGUAUGAAGACAUGAAAUCCUGAGCCUAAUUAAGUACUUAUAUAUCAAAAGCUUUGCUCUGCUGACAUCCAUCUGCAUCACAGCUUAACCUGCACAUUUAGAAAAUAUAUGCAGGGCUGAGUACUAAAAAGGUACUCAAUGGUCACAUGCCGAAAUAACUUUAAAGAUUGCUCUUAGAGCUAUAAAUUGAACUUGCCAUCUCAAGCAUCACACAGGAGUUUUAUUUAAAUAACCUGUGCACGCCAAAAACUAUAAAACAUCUCUACAAUAAUUAUAAACUUCAUAUGUGUCUGUAGACAUACUUCAUUGUACUAUACCAUAUCUGCAAUGAUAUCUGUGUGCCGAGAAGGUGGCCACCUUCUACGGUCACUGACCGGCCGAUACGCUAAACCGGCUCACGGUCCUAGACCGGCCGAUAUGCUAAACCAGCUCACGGACCUAGACCGGCCGAUACGCUAAACCGGCUCACGGUCCUAGGCCGGCCGAUAUGCUAGAUCGGCUCACGGUCCCUUGUGUACACUAAUCCUGUCUAACAUCUGGAUAGAACAGGAUCCGAAUUCGAUUAACUUCUGGUGCCAGAUAGGUAUCAUACAAGCUCAUAAAAUUUUGGCAAGUCAAUAACUUUAAUAUAACUUUAUUCAUGUAAACAUCAUGAAAUAGUGUGCACUUCAGAUUUUGAGUUUAGAAAGCCCACCUGAUAUGCUUAAUGAAGUAGAAAUCCUUGCUUGUUCACUUUAUAAAGCCACUCGAACCUUCAUUAUAAUGAGGUUCCCAAGGUAAGAUUGAAUAGAUAGACAAGAAAUAAAUAGAAAAGAACUCCUAGUUGAAACUUAUAUCUCUUGAAACUUUAGGGUUGCUUCCUCUAAUCUAAGUAAUCUACUUUUCUGAACUUAACUUAUUAAAAGCAUACUAACAUAUUAUCUAAAUCACAACUUAAUUUACGAUAAUUGUAACUCUGGCGUUAAUCAUAACUCCACUCGCUCUAAUUUAAUGAGUAGCUAUCAACUGGAAAUAAUAUAUAUUGUCUAAUAUAUACCAUAUGAUUUAUGUAUAAAUUAAUCUUAAUGUACUAAAAUAAUUCUACAUAUUUAGGCCAAUUUAAUAAAUCAAAUUAAUUAUUAGCUAAUAAUCCUUCAUUUAAGCUUAUUAAGCUUAAAUUAAAAUACUAUUGAGUUCAAUCAAAUAAAUUAAUGGCCCAACUUAACAAAUUAAUUCUAUCAUCUUAUGUACUACCAAAUUCCAACACAAUUUAUUAUUGCUGAUCCCAUUGAUGUUAAUAGGCCCAAAUAUUAUUUAAACCCAAUAUGAAAUUCUCAAAGCUCAAUUACUCAAAAUAAAUAAAAAACUAAAUACUAGAACUUAAGUCUAGAAUAUGCUAAAGUCAACAUCUCUCUUCUUCUUUCUUUUUCUUUUUACGCAGACUCCAUUUGUCUCUGUUCUCUCACCUGCGUCUCUCACUUUCCCUCUCCCUCUCGCCCGGCGACGUCGCCGGUCCUCCCCGCCUCCGGCGUGGCGAGGCCGGCUCCUCAUCUUCUCCUUCCUCUCUAUUCCCUAUUUCUUUCUCUAAUUCUAAAAUUCCCAAUUUCUAGGGUUUUCGGCCUCCCUUUCCCCUCUGAAAUUCGCCUCUCCGGCGAGUGCUGCCUCUGCCACCGCCGUCUCCGUCGCACCACCGCCACCUCUGUCUCAGGUAAUCUAUCUUCCUCCCUCUCUCACGAUCGAUCUCUCUCUGUCCUCUCUCUCUCUCUCUCCCUCUCGAUCUUCCCCUCUGCCCUCUUGCUUGCGGCGGCAGCGGCAGCGCAUGUAGCGCCGGCGGUCGCCGCCGCUCUGCUCUUCUCUCCCUGCCUCUAUCUCGCUCUACUUUCUCUCAUGUCCGUGUCUCUCUGUCUUUGUCUUACUCUCUGUUUCUCUCCCUCGCUCAAACUCUCUCUGCUACUGGCGGCCACCGCGGACCGCCGUGGCGCAGGCAACGCCGGCAGUCGCGCCUUUGCCGCGGUGGCUCGCGGCUGCUGCUAUCGCUUGCCUCUUCUUCCUCCUCUGUUUCUGUUUCUCUUACUUUCUUUCUUUUCUAGUUUAAUAGCUUGUUUAGCAAAUUCCUAACUAUUUCCUUAUCUCAGGAAUCGAUGAUUCAACUCCGGCGAGGCAGCCCGCCUCCUGAUCAAUGCUCAAGAUUCUAUUUUUUCUACCUUUCUUAUUGUAAAUUUAUGUUCUUUCAUUGAUUGAUUAUUGAAAAACUGAAGCUGUAAUGGUUGGGAAAUCGUACUGUGCUUAUAGAAAUUAGAGUUAGAGAUAUCUGUUUGUGCUUAACUGGUGUAGCUAUGUCUUUUUCACUGCUUUUCUUUACAUACUGAAUAUACUGUAUUGAAUAAGAAAGACUACCUUCUUUGAUGUCCGCUGGGGAGGAUGUGUGUUUGAAUGGAUGAUUGCUGCUUGUUUAAGAUUUGCAGAAUGGAAACAAAAACGGAAUUACUGAGGCUACUCAAGAUAUACUGGUUUGAGUCGGUUGAUGUGAAGCAGCUGCGUAAAAGUUACAAGCUACGCGUCCUUCUGUUAGCUAAUCUGACUUAACAACUCUAAUUAAUGUCUUAAAUCUAAUUAAAAGUUAAUUACUUUACUAAUGAUAUAAAGGAUUGGACUUGGACUUCUUUCUAUAUAAUAAAACAACUAGCCCAUAUGAUAAGCUUUGGGCUUCAGAAUUAAUUGAAUAAUUG
rnacentral:lncRNA from 1 species